rnacentral:rRNA from 1 species
GUGCCAGCAGCUGCGGUAAUACGUAGGGGCUAGCGUUAUCCGGAUUUACUGGGCGUAAAGGGUGCGUAGGCGGUCUUUCAAGUCAGAAGUUAAAUUCUACGGCUCAACCGUAGCCAGCUUUUGAAACUGGAAGACUUGAGUGCAGGAGAGGAGAGUAGAAUUCCUAGUGUAGCGGUGAAAUGCGUAGAUAUUAGGAGGAAUACCAGUAGCGAAGGCGGCUCUCUGGACUGUAACUGACGCUGAGGCACGAAAGCGUGGGAGCGAACAGGAUUAGAUACCC